rnacentral:rRNA from 1 species
CAGUCGCCGCGGUAAUACGGAGGGUGCAAGCGUUAAUCGGAAUUACUGGGCGUAAAGCGUGCGUAGGCGGUUCGUUAAGUCUGUUGUGAAAGCCCCGGGCUCAACCUGGGAAUGGCAAUGGAUACUGGCGAGCUAGAGUGUGUCAGAGGAUGGUGGAAUUCCCGGUGUAGCGGUGAAAUGCGUAGAGAUCGGGAGGAACAUCAGUGGCGAAGGCGGCCAUCUGGGACAACACUGACGCUGAGGCACGAAAGCGUGGGGAGCAAACAGGAUUAGAGACCCCGGUAGUCCCUGUCUCUUAUAA